GAUGAAGAACGUAGCGAAAUGCGAUAAGUAAUGUGAAUUGCAGAAUUCAGUGAAUCAUCGAAUCUUUGAACGCACCUUGCGCCCCUUGGUUAUUCCAAAGGGCAUGCCUGUUUGAGUAUCGUGAACACCUCAACUCUUGUGGUUUCCCACAAUGAGCUUGGACUGUGGAGGUUUUGUUGGCCCUGUGGUCAGCUCCUCUCAAAUGGAUCAGCUUACCGGUGUUUGGUGGCAUUACGGGUGUGAUAACUAUCUACGCUCGUGGUCGUCUCCAAAUAACCUCCAGUGAUGGAGGUUCGCUGGAGCUUAUAAAUGUCUCUCCCCAGUGAAGACAGCCUUUGAACGUUCGAUCUCAAAUCAGGUAGGACUACCCGCUGAACUUAAGCAUAUCAAUAAGCGGAGGA
rnacentral:misc_RNA from 1 species